GGCAGCGGAGAGGGAGGGAGUGGGGGGCGAGGGGGAGGGAGCCGGGAAGGGCAGCGGAGAGGGAGGGUGGGUGGCAGGGGCAAGGAGGGAGUAUUUCCUGAAGCUCCAUUCAAGUUCUGUGAGGGGAAUGUUUCCUGGGGUGCAUUGCCCCAGCCCUUGGGUUCCUCUCCCUGAGAGCUUCUACCUCAGCCUGAAAGAUGUCCGAUAAAGCAGAGGAGUUUGCUGUUGGGCCUGAAAAUCAAAUGAAACGUCGUGGAGAACCCAUUAGUCCUCCUCCAUCUAAGAGAAUGAUGAGCAUGGCGCUGCUGUCAAUGAAACAGGAAGGAGAGGGAGUAUCCUACCCUGGGGGCUCAGCCAUGUCAUUGGAAGAAUAUGAAAGAGUCUUCAAAUUGCUUGAAGGAGUGCAAGGACCUCUGGAAUUGCGGGAAAAAAUUUGUUGUAUUUUCCGUCAAGGGAACAGCAAGGUGGGUAUAGAGAGAAACUCUAUAGCACAUUGGGCCCAGUGCAGUGCUGGGCAUGUGGUGGGAUCAGGCCCUGCCUGGCAUUUCUCAAACCCUGGUCAUUAUCAUUCAGAGUUCAUGUUGUCUCUAGUUGUUUAGAUUGAUAUUCUCUGAGUCUCAUUCUUCCAAGUUCAAGGAGACUUCUGUUCAUACUGGAGUUUGAGGUAGGUGUUGACUGUGAACUGACAUUCUUUGUUUACGGAUUCAUCCCUUACCAUGAUGGUCCAUUUUCUAUUCCCAUGUAUAUUGUAAGCUCCCCUUUCUCUCCCCCACAGAGCUUCCCACAUUGUGGGUUCUUUGGGUGUCUUUUGGUUAAUGACUUAUUUCUUUAUUUUCAGAUUUAAAAGGCAAGACUUAAUAAGGCACCUGGAGAAGGUACUAGAAAAAUUAGAAUCUGACUACUUCCUCAACAAAGACAAAUUAUACCCCAAACUUAUAAUUCUGUUAUCAAAAUUAUCAGUGAGUAACCAGAACCAGUUUGCUGUCCUAGAAUGGAACCGGAUAUUGUUGAUGCUUUCUAGCACAUGUUAGUUAAUAAAAUUAUCUUCUUGAGAUUAAGAAAAGGCA
rnacentral:lncRNA from 1 species